CAAACGACUCUCGGCAACGGAUAUCUCGGCUCACGCAUCGAUGAAGAACGUAGCAAAAUGCGAUACUUGGUGUGAAUUGCAGAAUCCCGUGAACCAUCGAGUUUUUGAACGCAAGUUGCGCCCAAAGCCAUCCGGCUAAGGGCACGCCUGCCUGGGCGUCACGCAUC
rnacentral:rRNA from 1 species